rnacentral:lncRNA from 1 species
CUCCUCCGCGGAGUAGCAGUGGGCCAGAUUGCCGCGGGGGUGCCAUUUAGUGGCGGGCUCAAUGGCGUACUCUCUGAAGGUCACUUCGCGCACGGGUUGGACCUGGGGCAGGUUGGAGGAGUAGGAGUAUGUCAUUGGGCGCGAAGACGGGGUCUGGGGCAGAAAAGAAGGGAGGCUGGAGAAAUCUGGACCCGAGACGUAAACCCCCUCCUCCUCGCUGCCUGCCGGGCUUCGGAGUGACUCGGCAGAGACAGAGGCACAGGGGCUGCCCUGCUGCUCAACAGUCCACCCAUCUGCCUGGUCUUCUGGAGCUGAGGACUCGGGAAACCAUGCAAUUGAGGCAAGCCUUGGGCUGCUUUAGAGGCGCUGACAUCCGAGGAGACUUCUCCUGGGUAUGCUGCAUCUUCGUGGGGGGCCCAUUAGGCUGCUUACAGAGCUCCAGGUGUGUGGGGAGAAUGGGGGUGGAAAGGACGGGCUGAGGGCCAAGGAGAGGUGGCUGAGAAAGGGGUAACCCGCCUACUCUCCUACUCUCCUUCCUUGCAAUGUGUGAGAGUGAAAGCAAGGGAUGUGCAGGGCAAAAACUCAGAGAGCUCUGUGCCUUUCCUACUGCUCAUUCCACAGAAGGAAUACAAUACCAGAGAAAGGAGAGGUGCUUCCCGAACUCCUGGCCAAACCGAGAGGGUGCUGGCAGGGCUGGAUCCCACGGGUGUCCGCAGGAGACAAAGGCGAAUUCCGGAGAAAAGGCUGGGGCUGAGAAAGGCGCUCCGGGAGCGGCUGGCAGGGCAAUUCGGCAGGCUGCACCGAAGCCGGGUGCCCGGAGGGACUUGCCGCCCGGAAGGGG